rnacentral:rRNA from 1 species
ACACUUGACAUCCCUUGCAUUACUCUUAAUCGAGGAAAUCCCUUCGGGGACAAGGUGACAGGUGGUGCAUGGUUGUCGUCAGCUCGUGUCGUGAGAUGUUGGGUUAAGUCCCGCAACGAGCGCAACCCUUGUCGUUAGUUACUACCAUUAAGUUGAGGACUCUAGCGAGACUGCCUGGGUUAACCAGGAGGAAGGUGGGGAUGACNUCAAAUCAUCAUGCCCCUUAUGUGUAGGGCUACACACGUGCUACAAUGGCUGGUACAGAGAGAUGCAAUACCGCGAGGUGGAGCCAAACUUAAAAACCAGUCUCAGUUCGGAUUGUAGGCUGAAACUCGCCUACAUGAAGCUGGAGUUACUAGUAAUCGCGAAUCAAAAUGUCGCGGUGAAUACGUUCCCGGGUCUUGUACACACCG